GCCUUCGUGGUAUAGUGGUCAGCAUCCUGGGCGCGUAUUCCAGAAGUCCGUGGUUCGAGUCCCGGCGAAGGCG
rfam:Stegodyphus mimosarum contig9819, whole genome shotgun sequence.